GACGAACGCUGGCGGCGUGCUUAACACAUGCAAGUCGAGCGGUAAGGCCCUUCGGGUACGACGAGCGGCGAACGGGUGAGUAACACGUGGGUGACCUGCCUCUAGCUCUGGGAUAAGCCUGGGAAACUGGGUCUAAUACCGGAUAUGACUCCACGGCGCAUGUUGUGGGGUGGAAAGCCUUGUGUGGCUAGAGAUGGGCCCGCGGCCUAUCAGCUUGUUGGUGGGGUGAUGGCCUACCAAGGCGACGACGGGUAGCCGGCCUGAGAGGGCG
rnacentral:rRNA from 1 species